GUAACAUAAAGAAGCUUGCUUCUUUGAUGACGAGUGGCGGACGGGUGAGUAAUGCUUGGGAAUCUAGCUUAUGGAGGGGGAUAACUACGGGAAACUGUAGCUAAUACCGCGUAGAAUCGGGAGAUGAAAGUGUGGGACCUUCGGGCCACAUGCCAUAGGAUGAGCCCAAGUGGGAUUAGGUAGUUGGUGAGGUAAAGGCUCACCAAGCCGACGAUCUCUAGCUGGUCUGAGAGGAUGACCAGCCACACUGGGACUGAGACACGGCCCAGACUCCUACGGGAGGCAGCAGUGGGGAAUAUUGCGCAAUGGGGGCAACCCUGACGCAGCCAUGCCGCGUGAAUGAAGAAGGCCUUCGGGUUGUAAAGUUCUUUCGGUAGCGAGGAAGGCAUUUAGUUUAAUAGACUAGGUGAUUGACGUUAACUACAGAAGAAGCACCGGCUAACUCCGUGCCAGCAGCCGCGGUAAUACGGAGGGUGCGAGCGUUAAUCGGAAUAACUGGGCGUAAAGGGCACGCAGGCGGUGACUUAAGUGAGGUGUGAAAGCCCCGGGCUUAACCUGGGAAUUGCAUUUCAUACUGGGUCGCUAGAGUACUUUAGGGAGGGGUAGAAUUCCACGUGUAGCGGUGAAAUGCGUAGAGAUGUGGAGGAAUACCGAAGGCGAAGGCAGCCCCUUGGGAAUGUACUGACGCUCA
rnacentral:rRNA from 1 species